rnacentral:rRNA from 2 species
AAAUUGAUUUUAUGCUUGCAUAAAUGAUUUUUGGAUUCGGAGCGAGUGGCGAACUGGUGAGUAACACGUGGGUAACCUGCCCCGAAGCGGGGGAUAACAUUUGGAAACAAGUGCUAAUACCGCAUAAUUAGUUGGAACCGCAUGGUUCCAACUUGAAAGAUGGCUCUGCUAUCACUUUGGGAUGGACCCGCGCCGUAUUAGUUAGUUGGUGAGAUAAAAGCCCACCAAGACGAUGAUACGUAGCCGACCUGAGAGGGUAAUCGGCCACAUUGGGACUGAGACACGGCCCAGACUCCUACGGGAGGCAGCAGUAGGGAAUCUUCCACAAUGGACGAAAGUCUGAUGGAGCAACGCCGCGUGAGUGAUGAAGGUUUUCGGAUCGUAAAACUCUGUUGUUAAAGAAGAACAAGUGUUAGAGUAACUGUUAACACUUUGACGGUAUUUAACCAGAAAGCCACGGCUAACUACGUGCCAGCAGCCGCGGUAAUACGUAGGUGGCAAGCGUUGUCCGGAUUUAUUGGGCGUAAAGCGAGCGCAGGCGGUUUUGUAAGUCUGCUGUGAAAGCCCUCAGCUCAACUGAGGAAGUGCAGUGGAAACUACAAAACUUGAGUACAGAAGAGGAAAGUGGAACUCCAUGUGUAGCGGUGAAAUGCGUAGAUAUAUGGAAGAACACCAGUGGCGAAGGCGGCUUUCUGGUCUGUUACUGACGCUGAGGCUCGAAAGCAUGGGUAGCGAACAGGAUUAGAUACCCUGGUAGUCCAUGCCGUAAACGAUGAAUACUAGGUGUUGGAGGGUUUCCGCCCUUCAGUGCCGCAGCUAACGCAUUAAGUAUUCCGCCUGGGGAGUACGACCGCAAGGUUGAAACUCAAAGGAAUUGACGGGGGCCCGCACAAGUGGUGGAGCAUGUGGUUUAAUUCGAUGCUACGCGAAGAACCUUACCAGCUCUUGACAUCUUCUGCCAACCCAAGAGAUUGGGCGUUCCCUUCGGGGACAGAAUGACAGGUGGUGCAUGGUUGUCGUCAGCUCGUGUCGUGAGAUGUUGGGUUAAGUCCCGCAACGAGCGCAACCCUUAUUAUUAGUUGCCAGCAUUUAGUUGGGCACUCUAGUGAGACUGCCGGUGAUAAACCGGAGGAAGGUGGGGACGACGUCAAAUCAUCAUGCCCCUUAUGAGCUGGGCUACACACGUGCUACAAUGGAUGGUACAACGAGUCGCGAAACCGCGAGGUCAAGCUAAUCUCUUAAAGCCAUUCUCAGUUCGGAUUGCAGGCUGCAACUCGCCUGCAUGAAG